rnacentral:ncRNA from 1 species
AACCGCCGUAUACCGAACGGUACGUACGGUGGUGUGAGAGGUCGGCACGGAAACGUGCCUCCUACUCGAU